rnacentral:misc_RNA from 1 species
GCAAACUUGGUCAUUUAGAGGAAGUAAAAGUCGUAACAAGGUUUCCGUAGGUGAACCUGCGGAAGGAUCAUUAUUGAAAAGCUGCCCCCUCUUAGGGGGGGUAGAUCUUCAACCAUUUUGUUAACAAACUUUUUUUUUGCUUUGGUAAUCAUUGGAUUGCCAAUAGUUAAACUCUAUAAAUAUUGUCUGAAAUCUUUUUUUUAAAAUAAAACUUUCAACAACGGAUCUCUUGGUUCUGGCAUCGAUGAAGAACGCAGC